UACGGGGGGGCAAGCGUUGUUCGGAAUUACUGGGCGUAAAGGGCUCGUAGGCGGCCAACUAAGUCGGACGUGAAAUCCCUCGGCUUAACCGGGGAACUGCGUCCGAUACUGGAUGGCUUGAGUUCGGGAGAGGGAUGCGGAAUUCCAGGUGUAGCGGUGAAAUGCGUAGAUAUCUGGAGGAACACCGGUGGCGAAGGCGGCAUCCUGGACCGGUAUUGACGCUGAGGCGCGAAAGCUAGGGGAGCAAACGGG
rnacentral:rRNA from 1 species